rnacentral:rRNA from 1 species
UGAGGAACAUGACCUUCGGCGGGGGAUAGCCGGCCCAACGGCCGGGUAAUACCGCGUACGACCUUCCGGGGACAUCCCUGGAUGGUGAAAGCAGCAAUGCGCCGAUGGAGUGCCUCGCGGCCUAUCAGCUAGUUGGUGAGGUAACGGCUCACCAAGGCGACGACGGGUAGCUGGUCUGAGAGGAUGGCCAGCCACAUUGGAACUGAGAUACGGUCCAGACUCCUACGGGAGCAG